rnacentral:rRNA from 1 species
AUUGAACGCUGGCGGCAGGCCUAACACAUGCAAGUCGAACGAGUGGCGGACGGGGGAGUAAUGUCUGGGAAACUGCCUGAUGGAGGGGGAUAACUACUGGAAACGGUAGCUAAUACCGCAUACCAUCGGACGUGCCCAGAUGGGAUUAGCUAGUAGGUGGGGUAAAGGCUCACCUAGGCGACGAUCCCUAGCUGGUCUGAGAGGAUGACCAGCCACACUGGAACUGAGACACGUUCCAGAUCCCUCAGGGAGGAAGCAGGUGGAAUAUUGCACAAUGGACGCAAGCCUGAGGCAGCCAUGCCGAGGGUAUGAAGAAGGCCUUCGGGUUGUAAAGUACUUUCAGCGGGGAGGCGUUACCCGCAGAAGAAGCACCGGCUAACUCCGUGCAAGCAGCCGCGGUAAUAC